UACGGAGGGGGCUAGCGUUGUUCGGAAUUACUGGGCGUAAAGCGUGCGCAGGCGGUUUUGUAAGCCAGAUGUGAAAUCCCCGGGCUCAACCUGGGAAUGGCAUUUGGGACUGCAAGGCUUGAGUGCGGCAGAGGAGACUGGAAUUCCUGGUGUAGCAGUGAAAUGCGUAGAUAUCAGGAGGAAUACCGAUGGCGAAGGCAGGUCUCUGGGCUGACACUGACGCUCAUGCACGAAAGCGUGGGAGCAAACAGG
rnacentral:rRNA from 1 species